rnacentral:rRNA from 1 species
UACGAACUGUGCGAACGUUAUUCGGAAUCACUGGGCUUACAGGGUGCGUAGGCGGUUUGUCGCGUCUGCCGUGAAAGUCCGGGGCUCAACUCCGGAUCUGCGGUGGGUACGGGCAGACUAGAGUGAUGUAGGGGAGACUGGAAUUCCUGGUGUAGCGGUGAAAUGCGCAGAUAUCAGGAGGAACACCGGUGGCGAAGGCGGGUCUCUGGGCCGUAACUGACGCUGAGGAGCGAAAGCGUGGGGAGCGAACAGG